rnacentral:rRNA from 1 species
GACGAACGCUGGCGGCGUGCUUAACACAUGCAAGUCGAACGGAAAGGCCCUGCUUUUGUGGGGUGCUCGAGUGGCGAACGGGUGAGUAACACGUGAGUAACCUGCCCUUGACUUUGGGAUAACUUCAGGAAACUGGGGCUAAUACCGGAUAGGAGCUCCUGCUGCAUGGUGGGGGUUGGAAAGUUUCGGCGGUUGGGGAUGGACUCGCGGUUUAUCAGCUUGUUGGUGGGGUAGUGGCUUACCAAGGCUUUGACGGGUAGCUGGCCUGAGAGGGUGACCGGCCACAUUGGGACUGAGAUACGGCCCAGACUCCUACGGGAGGCAGCAGUGGGGAAUAUUGCACAAUGGGCGGAAGCCUGAUGCAGCAACGCCGCGUGCGGGAUGACGGCCUUCGGGUUGUAAACCGCUUUCGCCUGUGACGAAGCGUGAGUGACGGUAAUGGGUAAAGAAGCACCGGCUAACUACGUG